UUUUACGUAGUUUAUUUAUAUAAAAUGUUCCACUUUCUAUGGAAAGAAGAAUCGU
rnacentral:tRNA from 1 species